rnacentral:tRNA from 1 species
GGCCCAGUAGUUCAGUUGGUUAGAACGCCAGCCUGUCACGUUGGAGGUCAUGGGUUCAAGUCCCAUCUGGGUCG